rnacentral:lncRNA from 1 species
GCCAGAAAUGGCUUUAAUAUUUGUGGAUUAUAUGGCUGGCCAGAUGUUGAAAUCAUUCAGAGAGACUGAAAGCAAACCCUUGAGUAUGAGAUCAUUAUUGUGACAUCAUUAAGGUGGAUCAUGAAGAGAAGCAAACAUAGUUUACACUUUUGGAGUUCGACAUGCUGGAUUAUGCUUGAGUUGUGAAAGAGUGAAUUUGGAUAACAGUUGAAGGAUGUAGCAUUAAGAAAGUACAGUCGUUAAUUUCAUGUGUAAACUUGACAGUGCCACUGGAUGCCCAGAUAUUUGGUGUUCUUAAUAGAUUGCUAUUUAAUGUCAUUCAAGAUCUACAAAACAUCAUUUUUGCAUGACUACUGCAAAAGGACUACUGUAAAGAAACCAGUUCCUUUUGCAAGAGGACAAUUUGGACCCUGUUUCAGAAAGCAGUGAGUUCACAGAACUUAACAGAACACUUUCCAAGAUGGGGAGUUGUUGGGAACCUAUUCAGUGAUGGUGAACAUAUGGCAUGCAUGCAGGAGUGGGCUGUUUCUAUCAUUGAAAGCUCUAAAAAG